AGUCCUGUUGUUGCUAGGCAACGAAAGUUUGGUUACUGCAGAACAGAAGCGUCUCAAUUAGUAUACUUCUGUACUUCAAGCACACUCGUUCUAGUUGUACGCUGCCCGCUCUGCUUGCAGUAUGGCUCAGGGACGCUGACGUUGUUUAAUUGAGUACCCUGACACACAAGGGUGGAGUUUGAGACGCACCACACAGUGCUUUCGCACGCAGGCAGCAACCAGGGUAACUUUCAAGGACUUCCUCUGGAUGGUGGCAGAUUGACAACCUCACAUCAGUGAACAUGAAUCUCAUAACUGAUUGGAAAAAUAAAUAAAGUUUUGCACACAA